GGUUUUUGAAAACACCCGCGAAGUCAAAAACGCCCACUUUCUCUCCUCCUCGGUCGUGAUUGGCUGCACGCUUUUCCUCUUCCGCACUCAUCGCGUCAAUCAGUGCGAAGUACGUUCCGACUUCUGCGCGAAUACUUUUGAUCAAACUACAGCAGUUUCACAGGAGCUGUAGAAAACAAUGGAACGCCGGCACGCUGAGUUCGUGGACGCGCACUAUGAAGCUCUCCUUCAGAGAGUUACGUCCGUGAUGCCCAUCACCGAUAAGCUAUACGAAAGCGGUAUUCUUACCUGGGAAGUGUAUUCGAAGAUCACAAAGGCAAUUUCUAAAAAGUCCCAAAUGAGAGAGCUCGUAAUUGCUGUGAAAUCCGGAGGACCUGCGCUGAAAUCUGCGUUUUACGAAGUACUGAAGGACAUCGUGCCUGAUGUCGUUCGAGAACUGGAGGGAUCGCCCUCGCAGACGGACGAUAAAAAACAGCUAACCGGGUCUCGCCGUCAAAGAGCAGAAGAUGAAGAGGAGCAGGCUGGGAUCGAUAUCACCAGGUGGAACCCAUCCUCCAUAAAGUACAGAAGUAACAUAGAGGAGCUCAAGAACGACUCCUGCAGGAAAAAAGUCGGGAACCUCUACUUUUCUAAAAGUAAUAAAUACAUCAUUGGCUGUGGAGGAAGUGGCACGGUUUAUCUUGGCCUGAAGGAAGACGGCACUGAGGUGGCCAUCAAACGGAUAACCAAGGACCAACGGAAAAGCAAAGAGUUCGAGAACGAACUAAAGCAUCUGCGGGAUUUAAAUCUGGAGAGUAAGAAUAUCGUCAGGUAUGUGGACUUAGCGGAGGAUGAGGACUUUUAUUAUCUCGCGCUGCAGCUUUGCGAAUACGAUAUGGAGGAUUACAUGAAAAAUCUUCUUCAGGAAGAGCAAGAGGGCAAAGACGCGGCUUUGAGGAAAGUAGUGAAGGAGAUUCUCCUUGGCCUUCAGGUCCUUCACCACGCCGGAGUGAUACACCGCGAUAUAAAGCCUGGGAAUGUUUUGAUAGAUUCAGGAAAAAAUGCCAGGCUGGCCGACUUUGGCUUAAGUCGCAAACUGGAGGAGGGCAGAAGCACAGUGCAUACUGCUAGAGCUGGCACGCAAGGAUGGGAGGCCACGGAGAUCCUGAAUCAAGGAACGGGUUACAAGAAGACCUCAGACAUCCAGGUUGCUGGGAUGUUGGUGUACUACAUCCUCUCUGGUGGGAAACAUCCCUUUGACGCAAAGGACACAAAGGACGCAAAGGAUCGCGAGGAGAACAUCAAGAAAGGGCUGCACUCUCUUGAAGGUUUACAAGAUAUAGUAGCAAAGGAUCUCAUAGAAUGGAUGAUCAACAAAGACCCAUCAGAGAGACUGACCAUUGACGAGGUCCUACGACAUCCUUAUUUCUGGGAUGAUGACAGCAAAGAUGCUGUCCUUCGAAAGCUGGGUGACAUGCCUGAAAUCCAGAACUAUGAGACUUUAGCAAAACUUCACAAACUCUACAAAGAAAAAGGGCACAGAGAGGGAACGGACCCAGCAGGAACACUGACCAUUCAUGAGGCCUUUGGUGAACUGAAAAUAGAGAGUGAAAAGAAGAGAAACGACAUCCUUAAUAUAGUUGGUGUGGAUUUAAAGUAUCUUUGGAAGCUCUUCAACACAGCAGACGAGGUCACGAGAGGAAAAAGCUUUUCUAAUUGGAAAUCACAGCUCACAGAAAUAUGGCCAGACAUUAACAAAAAGCUCCCAGAAGACAUUCUUGGCCUGCUGCGCGUUUUGCGCAACAAACUGGUGCAUGCGUGAGUGAGAGAAAAAAAACCUUUUUUGCUCAUUCCAGCUGGCUUUCAUCGACAUGGAAAUAGAAAUGUCAGAAAGGAAUUUGAGGAGAAGAAGAUUUUUGACCAGUUCCCGGACUUUUUCAUCAGUUUACACAGAGUGGCUAAAGACUUGAGCUGGAGGCAUUGAAGAUGCACCACAACACUGCGUGUGAAAUUGACUGGCUUGUCAGUGAGCUACGGCUGGACAUAACAUUUUAUUUGAUCAUUAUUUCAGAUGGAUCCAUCAUUCUUGUUGACAAAUUCAAUCGCUGUUCUCACUUACAUCUAAUAAACUUCAAGGGUAUGAAUAAAAGCCUCCUGUAGCAAAUGCAUGCAUUUUUGUGAAAAAAAAAUAUCCGUAUUUCAAAUGUAAUAAACAUUUUUCUCUCAAUUUAUCUGACUGUAAUACCCACGAAAAGACGUCAACGUUGGGUGAUCGGUGACAAACAUGGAGAGAAAAGAAAACAGAAUGAUGUUCGUGAAUUAGAGCAGUCUUUCCCAAUCCUAGGCACAUCUGAUUUAACUCGUGAGCUCGCUAGAAGAAACUCCAGGACCUGAAUUGGGUUUUUCAGAUGAGGGAGACGUACAUAAUGUGUCAGGACCAGGGUUGAGAAACACUGAAGCGCAAACCAAGGAUUUGUAAAGAAAACUGUUCUAGGGUUUUGACGCUGGUUUGCUUCCUUUGCUCCUGUGAAGAGACUCGUGAGACUAACACAUCUCCAUCAUAUGACAGCCAGCAGAAUUGAGAGAACGGUGUUUACAGUUAAAGUAUGGUUAUCUUACAAAAAACGCCUGAUUCACUACAGUAGGCCUUCAUUCACCUCCAGAGCUACGUGAGGCACGUUUUAUUAUAGAUGCACUCGCUUUAUUUUAAUAUGGGUUGGACUGUUCGACUGAUACACGCACCCGUAACACUUGGAGAAGCCAGGACCAUUUUUAAUGUAACUCAGAUUUUUCUGCUUUAAUAAAACUGAAGCAGAAAGUCAUGAUUUAUGAUUUGAUAUUGGUAUAAAAUCAAGCUUAAAUCAACUAUUCAGAUGUUUUCAUAAAUUAGCAUUUUAUUCACAUGUUUAGAGAGAGCGGUCAAUGAGUGUGUCUUCUGGAAAUCAAACAGGUUUCAAAAUAAAUAGAGUAUUUUUUAUACAUUUUUUAUGCUAGGGCAUAAUUCCACUGUCACCGUAUUGUGGUGUAUGUGUGCAGCCGUGUUUUUAUACUAUAAAAUAAAAAUGAUGAUGCUCGUUUCA